GACGAACGCUGGCGGCGUGCUUAACACAUGCAAGUCGAACGGAAAGGCCCUGCUUUUGUGGGGUGCUCGAGUGGCGAACGGGUGAGUAACACGUGAGUAACCUGCCCUUGACUUUGGGAUAACUUCAGGAAACUGGGGCUAAUACCGGAUAGGAGCUCCUGCUGCAUGGUGGGGGGUGGAAAGUUUCGGCGGUUGGGGAUGGACUCGCGGCUUAUCAGCUUGUUGGUGGGGUAGUGGCUUACCAAGGCUUUGACGGGUAGCCGGCCUGAGAGGGUGACCGGCGACAUUGGGACUGAGAUACGGCCCAGACUCCUACGGGAGGCAGCAGUGGGGAAUAUUGCACAAUGGGCGGAAGCCUGAUGCAGCAACGCCGCGUGCGGGAUGACGGCCUUCGGGUUGUAAACCGCUUUCGCCUGUGACGAAGCGUGAGUGACGGUAAUGGGUAAAGAAGCACCGGCUAACUACGUG
rnacentral:rRNA from 1 species